CUUUUCUCCCUCACAUCCCUUCUCUCGCGCUCUCUUGUUCACGAUUUUCUUGGAAAAUCCUAGCUCUGUUACUUUGACCUGAAAUCACUUCUCUAUGGACUCUUCUUCUACUCUUAGUGCCUUUUUCUUCUUUCGAGAGCUUCCAUUGUUGUUGUAUCUUCGUCACAAUGCAGGUUAAACGAACGCGCGUUACGAGGUCUUCAAGCUUGGGAGAGAUUAGUUUGUUCAGCCAGGUGAGGCCGAUUGAUGCUCCAACAGCUAUGUGGGAAAAUAACGCAGCUCCGGCAGCUGCCAUUAAAAGACCGAUACAAUGCAAUUCGAAAGUCUCCGACCAAGGCGUGUGCUUGUAUCCCGAAGGAAACCAGGUAAGGGCAGUGAGAAGUCUCAAGAGCGAUGUCUUGUGCCCAGUUUCAGCAGAUCUCACCAGGCGGUUUCAACUACAAGAGGAGAGAUGUGGGUUGAAUGAAUAUUGAUCGUUGGAUUUGAUGUAAGACAUGUAUCAUGUUUAGAGGAAUCGUUGGAUGCUCGUUGGAGACUCAGUCAUUGGAAACGAGUCCGAUCCCCAACUCAUUAAGUUAGGAUGAGGUUGAAUUUAUUGUUGUUAAUCGAGGAGCAUGGGUCUCCCCACUCCUCUUUCUACCCAUUAAGAAGUGACCACAUCAUGCAAGUUUGUUAGUAUAUACACACACGACCCCAUUCCUUACCUUUUUUUUUUUUUGUCUUUUUUAUUUCCUGUGUUUUUUCAGUAGAACAAGCAUAGGAUGAAUGCGAAAUAAAAGUGAUUGGUGGCAUGAAACAACAUCAAUUUAUGCAUUGC